rnacentral:rRNA from 1 species
GUGAACGCUGGCGGUAGGCCUAACACCUGCAAGUCGAACGGCAGCACAGUAAGAGCUUGCUCUUACGGGUGGCGAGUGGCGGACGGGUGAGGAAUACAUCGGAAUCUACUUUUUCGUGGGGGAUAACGUAGGGAAACUUACGCUAAUACCACAUACGACCUACGGGUGAAAGCAGGGGAUCUUCGGACCUUGCGCGAUUGAAUGAGCCGAUGUCGGAUUAGCUAGUUGGCGGGGUAAAGGCCCACCAAGGCGACGAUCCGUAGCUGGUCUGAGAGGAUGAUCAGCCACACUGGAACUGAGACACGGUCCAGACUCCUACGGGAGGCAGCAGUGGGGAAUAUUGGACAAUGGGCGCAAGCCUGAUCCAGCCAUACCGCGUGGGUGAAGAAGGCCUUCGGGUUGUAAAGCCCUUUUGUUGGGAAAGAAAAGCAGCAGGUUAAUACCCCGCUGUUCUGACGGUACCCAAAGAAUAAGCACCGGCUAACUUCGUG